UAAUUGUGAUAUUAUUAGUAUUUAAUAUAAUUGAUAUAAUGAAAGCAAUUAUUAUUUGAUAUAAUUGUGAUUAAUUGAUAUAAUUGUGAUAUUAUUAGUAUUUAAUAUUUAAAAAAGAAUUAUAUUAACAAUUAUUAGUAUUUAAUAGAUUUAGUAUUCUAUUUACACUUCCUAUUAAUUAAUUAUUAUUAAUAUUAAUUAAAUACUAUUUAAAAUAAAAACAAAAAAAAA
rnacentral:lncRNA from 1 species